rnacentral:lncRNA from 1 species
CUGAAACUCAUUUCCAUGUCUGGAAUUGGAUCAAUUCAGUCACUGAGAUUAAAGAAUUAUACACUUUAAAGAGCUAUCUGCUGAGUUGACACAUGCCCAUCACGCCCAUGAGGAAGAGAUGCCCACCACAUCCAUCACUCAAGUUUGUCUAUAAAAGCAAGUUGUGGAGAUUCAAGAGUUUUAUAUUUUCUUUUCAUUUCUCUACAGGUCACUAUGUGAUGGAUAUUCCUGGCCCAACUCCGGAAAGGCCUGUCAUUGUGUGGAGGGGAAAGGUGUAUUCAAGGCUACAGUUUAUUUCAGCAAGGAGCCUCAGGAAAUCUUAGCCGGAAAAGGUCAUCACGUCAUUACCUGCCAUCAGAUGUUGGUGCACUGAUAGGAAAGUUUAGGCACUGACUUGAUAAGCACUGAUAUGACUGGCAAACACUCUCCGGUAGAUAGCAGCAAACAAAUUUAUUCUGCGAAAUCACUUCGUUGAAAUAGUGCUGUAAAGGUUCUGACUCGAGUGACCCAACAUUUUUAAAAAUGGCAGUGUGCCGAGUAUAGGGUGAACCAUCAAAGAAGGUAAAUCGAAUCAGUGAAUGAAUGCAUUCAAGAAUCAGGAAUUCAGCCUAUAUUCUGAGAAGAGAAGGCCCGAGUGUAAUAUAUCCUCUGAUCGCAGGUCUAUGUGGAGAAUUGAUCAGUGCACUGGAGUGGUAGGGAUACACAUUACAAACAUGACUAUUAAUAAAAAAUAAUUAUCCUAAUAUUAUCA